AUACGUAGGGUGCGAGCGUUGUCCGGAAUUACUGGGCGUAAAGAGCUCGUAGGUGGUUUGUCGCGUUGUCUGUGAAAUUCCGGGGCUUAACUCCGGGCGUGCAGGCGAUACGGGCAUAACUUGAGUACUGUAGGGGAGACUGGAAUUCCUGGUGUAGCGGUGAAAUGCGCAGAUAUCAGGAGGAACACCGGUGGCGAAGGCGGGUCUCUGGGCAGUAACUGACGCUGAGGAGCGAAAGCAUGGGUAGCGAACAGGAUUAGAUACCCUGGUAGUCCAUGCCGUAAACGGUGGGCGCUAGGUGUAGGGGUCUUCCACGACUUCUGUGCCGUAGCUAACGCAUUAAGCGCCCCGCCUGGGGAGUACGGCCGCAAGGCUAAAACUCAAAGGAAUUGACGGGG
rnacentral:rRNA from 1 species